rnacentral:rRNA from 1 species
GGAAAACUCACCAGGUCCAGACAUAGGAAGGAUUGACAGAUUGAUAGCUCUUUCUUGAUUCUAGUGAUUUGUCUGCUUAAUUGCGUCAACGAACGAGACCUUAACCUGCUAAAUAGGAAUAAGAAUUUUAUUUUUUUAUAUCACUUCUUAGAGGGACUUUGUGUGUCUAACACAAGGAAGUUUAAGGCAAUAA